rnacentral:rRNA from 1 species
CGAACCUGACAGUAUACCGAGUACUUGUACGAGGUAAUAUGGACGUAACCAUGCUCCCGAGAAAAUCCGCUAAACUUAUCCAUGCGGCACCCGUACCGUAAACGGACACACGUGGUCGGGUUGAGAAUACUGAGGCGCUCGAGUGACUCACGGUUAAGGAACUAGGCAAAUUGACCCUGUAACUUCGGGAUAAAGGGUCCUCGUCGUAAGGCGAGGCGCAGAGAAUAGGUCCAGGCAACUGUUUAACAAAAACACAUGGCUGUGCUAAAUGGAAACAUGACGUAUAC